rnacentral:rRNA from 1 species
GACGAACGCUGGCGGCGUGCUUAACACAUGCAAGUCGAACGGAAAGGCCCUGCUUUUGUGGGGUGCUCGAGUGGCGAACGGGUGAGUAACACGUGAGUAUCCUGCCCUUGACUUUGGGAUAACUUCAGGAAACUGGGGCUAAUACCGGAUAGGAGCUCUUGCUCCAUGGGGGGGGUUGGAAAGUUUCGGCGGUUGGGGCUGGACUCGCGGCUUAUCAGCUUGUUGGUGGGGUAGUGGCUUACCAAGGCUUUGACGGGUAGCCGGCCUGAGAGGGUGACCGGCCACAUUGGGACUGAGAUACGGCCCAGACUCCUACGGGAGGCAGCAGUGGGGAAUAUUGCACAAUGGGCGGAAGCCUGAUGCAGCAACGCCGCGUGCGGGAUGACGGCCUUCGGGUUGUAAACCGCUUUCGCCUGUGACGAAGCGUGAGUGACGGUAAUGGGUAAAGAAGCACCGGCUAACUACGUG